rnacentral:misc_RNA from 2 species
CAACCCUCAAGCCCGGCUUGGUAUUGGGUGCCGUCCCCCGGGGCGCACCUGGAAAUUAGCGGCGGUGCGGCCGGUGAUCAAGCGUAGUAACUACUUCCGCUUCGAGACACCCGGACGUGCCCGCCGGACAACACCAAGUUUUUCAAU